rnacentral:rRNA from 1 species
GGGAUUGCCUUAGUAACGGCGAGUGAAGCGGCAAAAGCUCAAAUUUGAAAUCUGGUACCUUCGGUGCCCGAGUUGUAAUUUGGAGAGGGCAACUUUGGGGCCGUUCCUUGUCUAUGUUCCUUGGAACAGGACGUCAUAGAGGGUGAGAAUCCCGUGUGGCGAGGAGUGCGGUUCUUUGUAAAGUGCCUUCGAAGAGUCGAGUUGUUUGGGAAUGCAGCUCUAAGUGGGUGGUAAAUUCCAUCUAAAGCUAAAUAUUGGCGAGAGACCGAUAGCGAACAAGUACAGUGAUGGAAAGAUGAAAAGAACUUUGAAAAGAGAGUGAAAAAGUACGUGAAAUUGUUGAAAGGGAAGGGCAUUUGAUCAGACAUGGUGUUUUGUGCCCUCUGCUCCUUGUGGGUAGGGGAAUCUCGCAUUUCACUGGGCCAGCAUCAGUUUUGGUGGCAGGAUAAAUCCAUAGGAAUGUAGCUUGCCUCGGUAAGUAUUAUAGCCUGUGGGAAUACUGCCAGCUGGGACUGAGGACUGCGACGUAAGUCAAGGAUGCUGGCAUAAUGGUUAUAUGCCGCCUGUCUUGAAACACGGACCUCCUGUG